UACGUAGGGUGCAAGCGUUGUCCGGAAUUAUUGGGCGUAAAGAGCUCGUAGGCGGUUUGUUGCGUCGGCUGUGAAAUCCCGAGGCUCAACCUCGGGUCUGCAGUCGAUACGAGCAAACUAGAGUGUUGCAGGGGGAGACUGGAAUUCCGUGGUGUAGCGGUGAAAUGCGCAGAUAUCGAGGAGGAACACCGGUGGCGAAGGCGGUUCUCUGGGCGAUUGACCUGA
rnacentral:rRNA from 1 species